UAUAUUUUUUGUUGCAAGUAAAAGAAAGUAAUUUUGUCCUAAAUGAGACUGGUUUGGAGAAAAAUGGCCUGGGACAAAAUUUGAAUGCAAAGGUAAGUUGUAGAAGGUUCAUGAAGGGAAAUCUGUGGAAAGGAAUUUUAUGUGUGAGGUGAGGAAAAACUAU